UAUAUGGCGAAGAGCCCAUGGGAUGAAGAUGAAUAAUUCUCAUGACUAGGAAUAAGAUUGUGUUUCAGGAAGAUGCACUUGCCAAGCAGAGGGUAAUUGUUGCUGUUCCUCGUGCUGGUCCCAUCACCAAAAUCAAGAGCCAACAAAUCAGUGGCAGCAGAAAAAAAGAAUUUUAGCCAAGAAUAAUCACACGGCGACUUCCAUUUGAAAACACCACUUUGAGAAUCCCUGCCAAGAAGAGAGAGACAAUUAAAGCUGUCAGGAUUGCUCACUAGGAGGCUGAAAAGAAAAGCAAGGG